rnacentral:miRNA from 1 species
CUGGGGAUCUUGUUAAGAUGCAGAUUCUGUUCCAGAGGUCUGAGAUUCUGCAUUUCUAUCAAGCUCCC